GUUCAGAGACAGUGUUCCAGGUGAGUGCUGAGGACAUGAGCUCUGUAGAUGACGGUCUGCUGACGCUAAUACUGAGGUCCCCCAUCCAUGUCUGGGUGUCCUGUGGAGAGCCCUACCUCCCUUAAAAUGCCCCCCGCUUCUCCAGACCGGGCCAAGCCUCCCUAGUACCCACCCAGAGUCCUGCCAACACUGAGACUCGACUUGCUGAGAUGGAGGCCCUCCUAGAGAAAGGCCUCUUCCACAGAAGACCUCCCAGGAACUGUACCAUCAGCCUGAUGUCAAAAUAAUUCAGGUGUACCACAGUGGAGACAGGCAUGUAUCUGUCCAUGUCUAGGGGCAAAGCAUCGAAUAGGUACUUCCUCCAAAUAGAGAGUCGGAUAUAUCAUACUCCAGUCUAGAUUGUCUAUGGGGCGCCGUUUGUAGCAUGCUAUAUUUUGUGACAAAGAGAGCGGAGGCGCCAGGUAGCCUAGCAGUUAAGAACGUUGGGCCAAUAACUGGUUUAAAUCCCUGGGCUGACUAUGGGAAAAACCUGUCAAUGUACCCUUGAGCAAAAGCACUUAACCCUGAUUGCUCCUGUAAGUCUCUCUGGAUAAGCGCGUCUGCUUAAAUGACUCAUGUGAAUUUCAUGCCGCAGAAUUCAUAUUUUUCACAAAACAUAGCUAGCACGUGACAAACAGCGCCCCCCUAUAUCUCCUCGGUGACUGUGUUGCUACAUGUCGCAGCUGCUGAGCUGCAGUACUGUGAGGCUGGCCCUGUCCAGGUCCGCCCCCAGGCUAUACGCUGCAGACGGCAGGCGUCUGAGCUCCUGGGUGGACAUCCACAGGGACAUGCUGCUGUGUGUGUCAACAGGACAGCCCUUCAUCAGCCCUGAAGAUUGUGGGGACAAGAUUGAGAUGAGAGCUACCUUCGCUUGAAUGAUGAGAUCUCUAGACUCUGGUAAUACCACAACAGACAGGGGACCAAAGGAGCACCUGACUACCACAAUUCCACGUGGCUGCCAUUCUCUCCAUUGGGCUGCAGAAGCAUAGAACUGUUACAAAACAACUGUACCAUGCCUGAUCAAGAUUGGUGUUAUCCACUGUUGUUGGACUGUCGCUACGUUCAAGCAAUUCCCAAUGGGACAGUAGCUACCAGGAACCGUGUGAUGUUAUAUAUUCACCACGAGUGGGAAGCAGUGGUAUAAGCGAGUCAGAAACUCAGCAAAAAAAAAGAAACGUCCCUGUCAGGACCCUGUCUUUCAAAGAUAAAUUCGUAAAAAUCAAAACAACUUCAACAUAUCUUCAUUGUAAAGGGUUUAAAC